UUUACCGUGAGGUAUGCACUGAAGGAAGCGAACCGACAAAAGCCUGUACCGACGAACAGAAAUUGUAUAAGAGGCAUAUCAAUAAGGAUGAGUAUCCACAGCAAUACGAAGUCCAAAACAGUGUUCUGAACAUGCUAACAAAUCAGAUUAUUGUUAUGUAGAUACAACGGGAAUAGGCGGAAGGAAAGAGCUC
rnacentral:ncRNA from 1 species